rnacentral:rRNA from 1 species
GACGUAGGAGGCGAGCGUUGUCCGGAUUCAUUGGGCGUAAAGAGCACGCAGGCGGUUUGGCAAGUCGGAUGUGAAAACUUGGGGCUUAACCCUGAGCUUGCGGUCGAUACGGGCAUGACUGGAGUUCGGCAGGGGAGACUGGAAUUCCUGGUGUAGCGGUGAAAUGCGCAGAUAUCAGGAGGAACACCGGUGGCGAAGGCGGGUCUCUGGGCCGAUACUGACGCUGAGGAGCGAAAGCGUGGGGAGCGAACAGG